GAUGAACGCUGGCGGCGUGCCUAAUACAUGCAAGUCGAGCGAACAGACGAGGAGCUUGCUCCUCUGACGUUAGCGGCGCACGGGUGAGUAACACGUGGAUAACCUCCCUAUCAGACUGGGAUAACUUCGGGAAACCGGAUCUAAUACCGGAUAAUAUAUUUAACCGCAUUGUUCAAUAAUGAAAGACGGUUUUGCUUUCACUUAUAGAUUGAUCCGCGCCGCAUUAGCUAGUUGGUAAGGUAACGGCUUACCAAGGCAACGAUGCGUAGCCGAUCUGGGAGGGUGAUCGGCCACACUGGAACUGAGACACGGUCCAGACUCCUACGGGAGGCAGCAGUAGGGAAUCUUCCGAAAUGGGCGAAAGCCUGACGGAGCAACGCCGCGUGAGUGAUGAAGGUCUUCGGAUCGGAAAACUCUGUUAUUAGGGAAGAACAAAUGUGUAAGUAACUAUGCACGUCUUGACGGUACCUAAUCAGAAAGCCACGGCUAACUACGUG
rnacentral:rRNA from 1 species